GCCUUUCCAUUGGCCUAUAGUAAACUUAUACAUGCAAGCAUCCCCGCCCCAGUGAGAAUGCCCUCUAUGUCUAAAACAAGACCUAAAGGUGCUGGCAUCAAGCACACUAACCACAUGUAGCUCAUGACGCCUUGCUUAGCCACACCCCCACGGGAUACAGCAGUAAUUAAAAUUAAGCCUAUAAACGAAAGUUUGACUAAGUUAUACUAUUCACCCAGGGUUGGUAAAUUUCGUGCCAGCCACCGCGGUCACACGAUUAACCCUAGUCAAUGGAUCACGGCGUAAAAUGUGAUUAUGAGUAAAUACACAAAUAAGACUAAGCUCAGGCUAAGCCGUAGAAAGCCCUAGCCCAACUAAAAAUAACCCGCGAAAGCAGUCUUAAAUAAUUCUGAACUCACGAUAGCUAAGACCCAAACUGGGAUUAGAUACCCCACUAUGCUUAGCCCUAAACAUAAAUAUUCAAUAAACAAGAAUAUUCGCCAGAGUACUACUAGCAACUGCCUAAAACUCAAAGGACUUGGCGGUACCUUACAUCCCUCUAGAGGAGCCUGUUCUAUAAUCGAUAAACCCCGAUCUACCUCACCACCUUUAGCACAAUCGCAGCCUAUAUACCGCCAUCUUUAGCAAACCCUAACAAGGCCGCAUAGUAAGCACAAGAAUUAUAAAUUAAAACGUUAGGUCAAGGUGUAGCCUAUGAGGUGGGAAGUAAUGGGCUACAUUUCCUAUUUUCUAGGACACCCUACGACAGCUUUUAUGAAAAUUAAAAGUCCAAGGCGGAUUUAGUAGUAAGCCAGAAAUAGAGCGUCUGACUGAAUCGGGUAAUAAGGC
rnacentral:ncRNA from 1 species